rnacentral:misc_RNA from 1 species
UGUAAUGAAUGGAUCAUUAAC